UCUUUUUGAACCAUACAUAUGUUUAUACAUAUAUUUGGUUGUCAAUUAUGAUUAUAACUGUAUUAAUAUGUAUAUAUUUUUAUUUGAAGAAUCAAUCAUGGUUGGGUUCCCUUAUCAACACUAUAGUUGGAAAUUUGAAACUCUCAAUUUCAAAUAUUCAUAUCAGAUACGAGGACAGUGAAAGGUGUGUAAUAGCAAGUUAAAUUUUAUAUUUUGGAAUCUUAACAUUCUUAUUUUCUGUCUGAAUUUUAAUUUCCUAUUCUCUAGCAAUCCUGGUCACCCAUUUGCAGCAGGUGUGACCUUGGAGAAACUCUUAGCUUCCUUCUGAGUGGGUCCAGGUUUUUAGAUAUGGCACUGAAGAAGGCAAACCUGCUGAUAGAAUUGUCAAACAACACACUUAUAUUCUGGAACCAAUUACAGGAAAAUGCAAAGUAUAUUCUGGAUGAUGUCAUUCUCUGUUUAUCAAAGGAUGGAUACAAGGAUAUGUUAAAACUGGCUGAUAACUUUUCUGCCUUUAAUCAACGCUUAAAAUAUG